AGUCAGACACAUGCAGAUCAAACCUCUCACAGGGACAGUUGAAAAGCUAUUUCCCAACAACUAACCAAAGGGUGUUGCUCUUUUGGCAGCUUGGAAUGAGAACUACCGAGAGCUUCCACCUUCCUUCUUAUCAUCAAGCACAGCCACAGCCCACGGCAAGCUUAUCUACAACCUAAGUACCUUCCACAGGCCCCAUGAGUGCCUUCUGGGAUCCUGGUUAACCUCUUCUGCAGAAGACAGGCCUCCUUCCUCCCCUGCUUUGCACUGUCAUGAACAGAGAGAGAAAAGAAAGAAAAGAUUUGAAGCAGGAUAACUGGUGAUUGCAUUGCCAGCUGCCUCAUUGCCACUGAGACUGAGAGGCAGAGAUGAGGGCGUCCACAGGGACCCAAGGAUGAGGUGAAAUACUGAAGAUAAAGUUGCUUGGCGUUUUCUCUUUCAGCAGUUUAGCCAAUAUUUAGCUAAUUUUCACCGCAGCUAUCUGAUCUGUGCUGCUCAUCUCCAUGUGCUGCAUUGGGCUGAGGGGCUCAGAGAAGAUCCUGUAAGUCAGAGGUUCCUCCAGUGUCGCUGGACAAGUGGAGCAAAAGAGCACAUGGAACCAUAAGUAAUGGAGUGUCUGUCAGCACUGCUAUUUAGAGCACCACAAUGCACUGAUGAAGAGCACUGCAACGUCUUGCUGCUCGGCUCGAUGAAACAACACCAGAUGCUGAAACUCUGUUGAAACUCAGCAGUAGGAAAGGGAAUGUUUGGUGGGAUGCAUGCUGCGUAACACAGAGAAACCAACACUAUACUCCAUCAGAAGAGGAAAGUUGAGUCCUUGCAUUGGUCCACCAUUACUCAGGAAAUCUGUGAAAUCAAGGGUUUUUACAGAGAAAAGAAGAAAACGCAUCUGUGUCUUCUCAGUGCAUCACAUCUGAACAAGUUCUGGGCUACGAAAACCCAAGUUCCAAAAAGAUGAAAGCCCCAAAAAUCAAAGUUUGGAAAUCACUCAAAAAAAAACAAGUUCUUGCCACAAGCAAAUGAUUCACCUGAGGGUUCUUGAGAUGUCAUUCCUUGACACGCUAAUAACCAAACAGAAUGAAUAAAUCAGCACUACACUCAUUCAAGACUGAGUACUGAUUCCUGAAAUGUACUGUCAGCAAGAAACACCUGAUCUGGAGACAUCGCCAAAUCUGACAGCAAUCCUAGAGGAGGCAAAGAAACCAAACAACACUGA